rnacentral:sRNA from 1 species
GGCCAUCAAGACGCUGAAGGUGGGCUACACCGAGAGGCAGCGGCGGGACUUCCUAAGUGAGGCCUCCAUCAUGGGUCAGUUUGAUCACCCCAAUAUAAUCCGGCUCGAGGGCGUGGUCACCAAAAGUCGGCCAGUUAUGAUCCUCACUGAGUUCAUGGAAAACUGCGCCCUGGACUCCUUCCUCCGGCUCAACGAUGGGCAGUUCACGGUCAUCCAGCUGGUGGGCAUGUUGCGGGGCAUUGCUGCUGGCAUGAAGUACCUGUCCGAGAUGAACUAUGUGCACCGUGACCUGGCUGCUCGCAACAUCCUUGUCAACAGCAACCUGGUCUGCAAAGUCUCAGACUUUGGCCUCUCCCGCUUCCUGGAGGAUGACCCCUCCGAUCCUACCUACACCAGUUCCCUGGUACAGGAAGCCGCUGGGAGGGAGACUGGGGGCGGGGCCUAUCAGCCAGGGGCUCGGGCCUGGGGGGCAGCCUGGAGUCACAG